AUGCAGGUGUUCAAUGAGCUCCUUGACUCGGUGGCCCUCCAUGAGCCUGACUUAUCGCAGCACCUCGACGACCGCCUAUCUUGGCGUCUCGAGCCCUCUGGUCGCUUUUCCACAAAGUAUCUCUACUGCGCCAUCGCGCACUCUCCCGGACCAAGCGUCCUUGACUCUAUAUGGUCUAUUCGCGUCCCCCUCAAGAUUAGAAUCUUCAUGUGGCAAUGGAUCCGUGGCCGGCUUCCCUCGGGCGUGGAGGUCCUGAAGCGCCAGGGUCCCGGUGAUGGUACCUGCCCCCUAUGUGGGACGGCGGAAACCUCGAAUCACAUCUUCUCGUGCGUGUCCGCCCAGUUUCUUUGGGGCUGCCUCCGAGAGGUCAUCGGUGGCAACUGGUGUCACACUAAUUUCCCUGAUCUCCUCUCUGAGGUUCAGUCCUCCCCCUUGUCCGGCCGCCAUAUUAGGUGGUUGCUCAUUGGGGUGCUCGCCUGGACGCUGUGGACCGUUCGAAAUAAGCUUGUCAUUCAACGGGUCCCCCUUCGACGUGCUACUGACGCUGUGUUCAAAUUGUGUGGCUUCUUGCAGCUUUGGCGGCCGCUUAGCCGUCACCAGGAUCGCGACGCCAUCACCUCCAUCAUCGCCGACCUUCGCUCGAUGGCUCUCCGCUUUGCUCCGCCGCUCCCCCCGCCACCCCCCGAGCCGGAUUAG
rnacentral:rRNA from 1 species